rnacentral:lncRNA from 1 species
GGGCCGGCCCUGUGUUUUGGAAGGCCCUAGGCGAACUCGGUGACAUGGGCCCCUAUAUAAAUUUCAACCAAAUUUGACUAUAAUAAUUCAACUGACUCCAUCGACAACAAUAAUAACUAAAUUCGAACCGACUCCAUCGACAACAAUAAUACUAAAAAGAUGGCAAAAUAAAACUAACAUGCCAUGAUUACCUCAAAUAAGAACCAAAUUCAACUGACUCCAUCGACAACAAUAAUACUUCAGUGCUUCAAAAAAAGUUUCUUCGGACGUUUCUUGAUGCAAUAACACUUUCUUUUUUUUCUUCUCCUUUUUUCAGCACCAACAUCUUCUUCUUAGGCAACAUGGCAGGAUAAUGUCCUAAAAUCAUGAAGAAAAGAGGGUACAAAGACUUAAGAAUUUAUAAUCGGAUGAUUGGAACCCUAGACAUACAUGUGGAUAGUUGAAUACGUACGUACUACUGAAAUUGUCAAAUUGGGAUCUGGGGGGAUGGAUUAGGUCAUCAGGAACAUGGAUGGAUCAUGGAUACAUAUACAGGCUGAAGAAACUGACAGAUGGAAUGGAUCAUGGAUUACCUCGUUGGCUCGUUGCAGACUUUGGG